UUGUAACGGCGGCUUAGCUGAUUGGCUACUGUGAGAAUGCGGAGCCAGCCAAGGGAGGUAAUAAAAUCAUCGCCCCAAGCCGUGGAUGCAUCCAGGGUAUAGUGGAGAGUGAUUGUAACGUAUUCCCUGGAGAUCAUCGAGGAUGAAUAAGAACAUACAAAUCCAUGUUUUCUGGAAUUUUUGGAGUCGGCAGUGAUAUCCAAAGAUUUAAUUCCUGGGCAUUAAAUACAUGUGCAAAUAGGAAAACACCAAAUGUUUUCACAAAGGGAUGGGGGAAAUCUCUCUUCCUCCCCAACCACGUCUUAUCUCAAUAUGCCAAUGCUUGUUGUUCAAGUGCUUCGAACCGAUUGUACCAUUGCAAUAACUUGUGUCAAACAUACAGGGUAAUAUAUUAUCCCCCUUGUUCUCCCUACCAGUGUGUUUCUGCUUCAAAUAAGUCUUUCAUUUAGUUUGUUGGUUGUUUUGCUUGACAUUUUUGGGUUUUUUUAAUAUUUUUAUCAUUAUUAUUGAAAAAUACAUUUUGUUUGAUAGACUUCUGUAUUGUACUUAUAUUUGUAUCCUGCAUCAAUGGCUCGUACUUCGCUUAUAUGGGAAUAUUUAUAAGUACAUAUGUUGAUGAUUAUUUGUCAAUUUGUGAAGAUUUAAGGCAUGAAACAACUGUGAAUACUGGUUACAUGCUUGAUAUGUUACAAGACAGGCAUGCCUUAUCUACAUGAUAGAAACAAUUUUUUUUAUCACCAUCCUGCUAUACACCUUAUUUAAUGCCAUAAGUGCAAACUUGCUUGUUUCGCUAUAGAUAAACAGGUAAUUUAAAGAAAAAUGUUUUAAAAAACAAAUGAUCGAGACCUACCUGUUUUAUAUUUUGAUUGGUUGAAAAAGAAAACACACAAUGUUUAGGAUGUCUGAGCUCAUCCAAACUCUAUAAUCUUCUGUGGAACUGUCUGAAGAAGUAGCUGAAAUCUUUUGAAAUAAGAUUUUGUACUCCAAUUUGAUACCUCUGAAGAGAGGCAUUAAAUCAGAGAGGUACUAAUUUAGGGUACAGUGUUUUAUUUUAAAUAAAUUUGCAGUUUUAUAAAGCAUAAUAUGUAGCUUUCUGGUCAUCAGGUGAAAAGUAAGUUGGAACCAUUUUGUUAGGGCAGAUGAAAGUUUUACUGACAUGUUGCAUUACCUUUGAUCUCAGAUUGGUGCUAUAUCUCAUGCAUGUAUGUGUGUUCUCUUCCUAUCUCACAUUCCCCUUGGCUUUCUAGACAUUUUAUUUAUUGGUAGGAUUGUAGAUGAGUUAUAGAAUGUGCCAAUCUUUCUGUCUGUUACCUAUUGAGUUUCUGUUUGUUACAGCCGUUUGUUUGUCAUGAGAAGGAUUGAUGUGAAACAACAGCUCAGAAUCUUGUAUGUGCAACUUAAAUUUCAUUCUUCAAGAAAGUAGUAUGUACUGUUAUUUCAAGCAAGUCAUGGUUGCCCUAUCGUUCAGAGCAUUUCAACUUUCUUCACAUUGAUGUUUAAGAUGUUCUUUUCUGUCUGCAGUAUGCUGCUCACAUUUUGCUAAGAAUGUUACCUGUGUUUAAUAUCAGAAAAACGGAAGUCUGCCAUGUAUGCAACUCUCCUCAUCUCAUCCAGAUGACACAAACAGCAUCAUUUCAAGGAAACUUUUACUUGGAUAAUGGCCUAGUUGGGAUUUAUAGUACUUUUUUUUAAAACUAUUAGAAAUAUACACAGGGCUGUGGUUGGAACAAAAUAAGAAAAUUAAAACAGAUUGUUUUAGGUGAUAUUACAUAUUUUGGAUUGGGUGAUAAAACGAAAGAUAUUUGGGGUUUCUUCCAGGUGGACAUCCUUUAAUACAGAGGAUAGGCUUAUAGGUGUGUAUCCCUCUUCAGGAAGCACACAUUCAGACACUUUUUAGGUGAUAAACAACAGUAUACCUAAAUCUAUAGCAACACUAUGACUAACUCAUUUGGAAUUAUUUAUUUCAAAACAUGUUUUGCGGUAUUAAAUGUGAAUUGUCAAAUCACAAAGUGCAUCCCCCUUUUCCCAAAGGCAGUGUCCAAGCUAGAAAUAAUCUGAUUUAUCCAUGUCUCCUUCAGUAAGGCUCACAGCGAUUCCUUGGUAGCACAGACAUAUAGACAUAGCUUUUAUCAAAUUGUGGGUUAUUAUUGUCAAAACAGAUAAUUUGAAGGUUAAUUUCCCCAGAUUUCCACUACUGUAUACUAUUCCUGCUGUUGAUGUUCUAACUGUUGACACAUCGAGAUUUGACAGAGUACUCAUGUACAGACAGAACUGGCUAUGCAUGUACAACAUAUAAGCCUAAAGUAUAAUAAAUAUGCUUUCAGGA